rnacentral:rRNA from 1 species
GACGAACGCUGGCGGCGUGCUUAACACAUGCAAGUCGAACGGAAAGGCCCUGCUUUUGUGGGGUGCUCGAGUGGCGAACGGGUGAGUAACACGUGAGUAACCUGCCCUUGACUUUGGGAUAACUUCAGGAAACUGGGGCUAAUACCGGAUAGGAGCUCCUGCUGCAUGGUGGGGGUUGGAAAGUUUCGGCGGUUGGGGAUGGACUCGCGGCUUAUCAGCUUGUUGGUGGGGUAGUGGCUUACCAAGGCUUUGACGGGUAGCCGGCCUGAGAGGGUGACCGGCCACAUUGGGACUGAGAUACGGCCCAGACUCCUACGGGAGGCAGCAGUGGGGAAUAUUGCACAAUGGGCGGAAGCCUGAUGCAGCAACGCCGCGUGCGGGAUGACGGCCUUCGGGUUGUAAACCGCUUUCGCCUGUGACGAAGCGUGAGUGACGGUAAUGGGUAAAGAAGCACCGGCUAACUACGUGCCAGCAGCCGCGGUGAUACGUAGGGUGCGAGCGUUGUCCGGAUUUAUUGGGCGUAAAGGGCUCGUAGGUGGUUGAUCGCGUCGGAAGUGUAAUCUUGGGGCUUAACCCUGAGCGUGCUUUCGAUACGGGUUGACUUGAGGAAGGUAGGGGAGAAUGGAAUUCCUGGUGGAGCGGUGGAAUGCGCAGAUAUCAGGAGGAACACCAGUGGCGAAGGCGGUUCUCUGGGCCUUUCCUGACGCUGAGGAGCGAAAGCGUGGGGAGCGAACAGGCUUAGAUACCCUGGUAGUCCACGCUGUAAACGGUGGGUACUAGGUGUGGGGUCCAUUCCACGGGUUCCGUGCCGUAGCUAGCGCUUUAAGUACCCCGCCUGGGGAGUACGGCCGCAAGGCUAAAGCUCAAAGGAAUUGACGGGGCCCCGCACAAGCGGCGGAGCAUGCGGAUUAAUUCGAUGCAACGCGUAGAACCUUACCUGGGUUUGACAUGGAUCGGGAGCGCUCAGAGAUGGGUGUGCCUCUUUUGGGGUCGGUUCACAGGUGGUGCAUGGCUGUCGUCAGCUCGUGUCGUGAGAUGUUGGGUUAAGUCCCGCAACGAGCGCAACCCUUGUUCACUGUUGCCAGCACGUUAUGGUGGGGACUCAGUGGAGACCGCCGGGGUCAACUCGGAGGAAGGUGGGGAUGACGUCAAGUCAUCAUGCCCCUUAUGUCCAGGGCUUCACGCAUGCUACAAUGGCUGGUACAGAGAGUGGCGAGCCUGUGAGGGUGAGCGAAUCUCGGAAAGCCGGUCUCAGUUCGGAUUGGGGUCUGCAACUCGACCUCAUGAAGUCGGAGUCGCUAGUAAUCGCAGAUCAGCAACGCUGCGGUGAAUACGUUCCCGGGGCU